rnacentral:rRNA from 1 species
UACGAAGGGGGCUAGCGUUGCUCGGAAUCACUGGGCGUAAAGGGUGCGUAGGCGGGUCUUUAAGUCAGGGGUGAAAUCCUGGAGCUCAACUCCAGAACUGCCUUUGAUACUGAGGAUCUUGAGUAUGGGAGAGGUGAGUGGAACUGCGAGUGUAGAGGUGAAAUUCGUAGAUAUUCACAAGAACACCAGUGGCGAAGGCGGCUCACUGGCCCAUUACUGACGCUGAGGCACGAAAGCGUGGGGAGCAAACAGG